rnacentral:ncRNA from 1 species
GAGCGCCGGAUGAUGCGAAAGUGUCCAGUCCGGUGCGAAGUGGGGGAAAAGAGCACCCAAACGGCAAUGCGGACGUAGGUGUCUCUUACCUAUCACUAA